UACAGAGGGGGCAAGCGUUGUUCGGAAUUACUGGGCGUAAAGGGCGCGUAGGCGGCCUGCUAAGUCAUACGUGAAAUCCCUCGGCUCAACCGGGGAACUGCGUGUGAUACUGGCGGGCUUGAAUUCGGGAGAGGGAUGCGGAAUUCCUGGUGUAGCGGUGAAAUGCGCAGAUAUCAGGAGGAACACCAAUGGCGAAGGCAGCACUCUGGGACGGUACUGACGCUGAGACGCGAAAGCGUGGGGAGCAAACAGG
rnacentral:rRNA from 1 species